GCUCCAGCUGUUUUUGGACUACAGUUCCCAUCAUCCCUAACCUCUGAUCCCGUUAACUAGGGAUGAUGGGAGUUGCAGUCCAAAAACAGCUGGAGA